rnacentral:tRNA from 1 species
GCAGGGGUGGUCGAGUGGCUAAUGGCACCGGGCUGUAAACCCGGCAGACUAACGUCUUACGUAGGUUCGAAUCCUACCCCCUGCACCA